rnacentral:rRNA from 1 species
AGCGGCGGACGGGUGAGUAAUGCCUAGGAAUCUGCCUAGUAGUGGGGGACAACGUUUCGAAAGGAACGCUAAUACCGCAUACGUCCUACGGGAGAAAGUGGGGGAUCUUCGGACCUCACGCUAUUAGAUGAGCCUAGGUCGGAUUAGCUAGUUGGUAGGGUAAAGGCCUACCAAGGCGACGAUCCGUAACUGGUCUGAGAGGAUGAUCAGUCACACUGGAACUGAGACACGGUCCAGACUCCUACGGGAGGCAGCAGUGGGGAAUAUUGGACAAUGGGCGAAAGCCUGAUCCAGCCAUGCCGCGUGUGUGAAGAAGGCCCUCGGGUCGUAAAGCACUUUAAGUUGGGAGGAAGGGCUUACAGCGAAUACCUGUGAGUUUUGACGUUACCGACAGAAUAAGCACCGGCUAACUUCGUGCCAGCAGCCGCGGUAAUACGAAGGGUGCAAGCGUUAAUCGGAAUUACUGGGCGUAAAGCGCGCGUAGGUGGCUUGAUAAGUUGGAUGUGAAAUCCCCGGGCUCAACCUGGGAACUGCAUCCAAAACUG